UACUAGUCUAAAAUCAUCUCAGAAAACAAACUCUGGCAACGAUUUCGCAAAAAAGGUAUCCAUCUUGUAGGUCAGUAGGAGGAAAUAGAGUACUUGUAAGCUAUACAAUCUCCGCUACAAAGUCGCAUAAAGUUCACUAGGUGGACUGGAGUAAUUACAAAAUGUGUCAAUUCAAAUACGAAGAUGCAAAUCGUUGCACCAAAGUACCUUGCAAAAGCACAUGCGGAAGUGCAGCCCAACAAAGACGCUCUGCCCCGUGUGUAUAUGCAGGCUGGGAGAGCUGCAUCAACAACUUCAACAGCAAACAAGAACUUAUCUUUCUGCUUCUUCAUUCAAUGUCUGGCAUGCCCAACAGUGGAUAACUGGUAUCAGCAGGUCCAAGAAGGGGAAUAUACUCCGAUCCUCUUACAUGAACACUAAAACAAGCAUUUUCUAUCUUCAUCACACUCUGGAGCAUUGUUUCCAUUUUCUGUUUCAUGUCUGAACUAUCAUCCAUCUCUGGGGCAAUAAGAGUAAGGUUCCUGUAAAUUUCACGCACAAA
rnacentral:misc_RNA from 1 species